UCACUUUACUUUCUCUUUCCUUUGAUUACAUUCAAUAUUUCAACAGAAAACUCACUAUUAUUAUUUGGAAUUUUCCCCCAACAAUCAGGCCUGCUGAAAAGGCAUCAUUUGAUAUUUUGUUUUUCAUUGCUGAGAAUGAAGAGUACAUGGAGUCGUGUGGCCGCAAUAGCGGCCAUGUGGUUUUGGAUUUCUGGUAUUUUAGUAAUUAACUCCAGAGAAAUUUCUGACAGAAGUCGCAUCACUGCAAGCUCAUACCUCUGUUUAGUGGGCCUUAUAUAAGAUGGUGUCACCAUGCCACCUGUGAAAGGAAAGGCCGAGAGAGAAAAACCUUUCCCCUCCCGGGGCGGCAUGGGGCCGUAGCUGAGUUCAUAGUCUAGAGUCAUUUCUGCAAGAAGCCGCUGGGUGCCGAAAGUGGUUAGUGGGCCUCCAGGAUCAUGGGCAUUCAGGAACCUAAGAUUUAUUUUUUAUUUUUUAUUUCUAAAGCAGGAAUAUUUCUUCAGCAUUUUGCUCCUUUCAAACUAGAAUUCCAAAGAACUUUGCUUAAAUACUUAAUAUUCAGUUUUUUUAAAGUAAACCAAAUAAAAGGACCACACUAUGUCUACAUACAGACUUUUAUCACAACUUAAUUUUACUUGCCUUUAUUCAUUUCUUUGCCAAACCAGCUGACUGUUUAAUGCUCAGACCCAUCCAGUUUUGGGCGCUGGGGACCGAGCACACCCAGAGGUAUGGGGGUCUCUAGGGCUGUGCCCAGCAGUGUCAGGAAAGAUGCCAGGAUGUCUGGGCAGUUGAACUUGGGGUCUCAGACAUGCAAGGCGAGUACCAGCACUUUGAGCUCUCCCCAGCCCUUUGAUAAUAAAGCUUGAUAGGAGAGGUAUUCGAAUAGUUGUUUAGUUAAAUGUGAGGCUUGCUCCUUUAGUCCAAAAUUGAUACUUACCUCAGAACAGACUCCCUUCCUUUAAGCCGUGGGUUUUCUUAGAGUUUGAUCCCUGGAAGACCACUCUCAUCUCCCUUUCCCGACCCUUCACUCUUCACCUUUCUUCUCCUAUUCUGUUUACUUAUUUUUUCUUUUUGCCUGUGCUCAGGGCUGACUCCUGACUAAGCUUGGGAACCGUCACAUGGGGUGCCAGGGGUUGAACCCACAUCAGCUAGAUGCAAGGCACGCUCCCUACUCACUCAGUCUCUCCACCCCCCUCUUUCCUGUUUCGAUGUCAUCCCAGAUCCCUCUGUCUUUUUUUCUCCUCUUCCUCUAGCCUCCUCCAACCUGCUUCUCCCUUUCUUAAUCUAUUAAGCCUUUCAAAAAAUAAUAGAAAAAUUCAUUUAAAGUCUUGAUUAAAAAAAAAGCAGUGUAACCAAGAAGCUAGGAAAGAAGAGUUAAGGAUAACAAACAGAACCAAACUCCAAGAUACAAGAGAGCAGAUUAGGGGUUACCUGAGGGGAGGAUUGGAGAGUGGAUGCCAGGGCUGACGGAAUUGAGAAGUUCUAUUUUCCAGUUAGAAAAUAAUCACAGUGAUGUACCUUACAGUAUGGAGCUCCUAAACAAUAGGGUUACAGAUUUGAAAAAUUGCCAGCAGUAGUUGGGAAAUAGACAUUAUUUUACAUUAAGAAUCAGGCGAUUGGGGCUGGAGCGGGUAGGGCGUUUGCCAUACAUCCGGCUGACCCAGGUUCGAUUCCCAGCAGCAUCCCAUAUGGUCCCCUGCACCGCCAGGAGUAAUUCCUGAGUGCAGAGCCAGGAGUAACCCCUGUGCAUAGCUAGGUGUGACCCAAAAAGAAAAAAAAAAGAGUCAGGUGGUUACCAGAACGUAGCUGGAACUGAUAUAAUACCAGGGGGCUGGAGAGCUCCUUGGGUUAAGGCGCACCAGUCGCGGUUCCAUCACAAUGUUUCUGUUGGGCUCCACCAGGAGUGCUCUCUGGGUACAGAGCUACCCCUGAGUAGCACCACUGGUGGAGUAGCACCGCUGGGUUUGACACCCCCCACGCUAGAGGGAUACAGAAAAGCCUUAAACGGGAAAGAAACAGCCCCUGCGUCUGCCGAGAAUCAGUGUGGACGUGAACGGAAAGGCUGAGCAGUAUCGAGGGCGCGUUGUCCGCAGCAUCCUUCCCCGCUUUGUCUCUGCAGCAGCUGGGGACUGUCCGCGGCUCCCCUGCCCAGAAUCCACCUCGCGCAGCGGCCGUCACCGAGCCGCCCGGGCUGCGGGUGGACCCGGGUCCGGAGGACGUUCCGAGCUCACUGCCGUGUGGACGGGCUCGCGCUGCCAGAACCGCACGGCCUCCUAGCCAAGUGGGCAGCAGGAGCAUCACGCGUCAGCCGCUUCUCAGCAGAGACCUUAGAGCACGGAGGGAGGAGCUGGAGAGGUGACAACAAAAGCCUCAGCCCCAGGACUUCCCAGUCCCCCAGAUGUGCCCUGGGAGGAACUCACAUCUGGUGGGAACUGGCCUGACUGCUCCGACCAGCCCGCUGGCGGCUGCUUCCUGGCUCAGCAUCUCCUAGGAGAGUCGGUUGUAGACAAGAAGUACACACCUGCACCGCUACCUUAGGAGGUAAGAAUAAAAGACAACGGGUGGGGCACCAGGGCAAAAGACAUCGUAGUCGGCAGGAUUCGAACCUGCGCGGGGAGACCCCAAUGGAUUUCUAGUCCAUCGCCUUAACCACUCGGCCACGACUACAGAUAAAGAACUGAUGUUCUCGAUUUAUAAAAUGAAACGUAAUAGACAUAAAGUUAGUACUCAGAAGACAAAAGUGAGUUUAGUAAAUACGACCAUUUCAGGUAAGCAGGACUUGAAGGUCAAACUGUCUCCUGCACCCCCGUCUGAGAACACUCGGGGGCAGGCGCUCACCAUAGUCCUCUCCAGUGAAUAAUCGGGUCAGCUGCUCCCUGGCAUCAAAGGAAAUGCUGGCGGUGGAAGGGAAGAAAAUACUGAAAACUUCCCCAGGAGCCUCGGAUCAGUACUCAGUCUUCAUUCUGCUGGCUGGAGGAAUCUGCAAAUAAAUGCCGUGUGCACUUGGCGUUUCCAAGCAGGUGAAGAAACUUGAAAAGUGUGGCUAUCUAUUGCAAACCACAGCACCCCAAAGGAGAGACAGAACAAAAAGGAAAUACCCUGUCAGAGAGACAG